UACGUAGGGGGCAAGCGUUGUCCGGAAUCAUUGGGCGUAAAGCGCGUGUAGGCGGUUCGGUAAGUCUGCUGUGAAAGUCCAGGGCUCAACCCUGGGAUGCCGGUGGAUACUGUCGGGCUAGAGUACGGAAGAGGCGAGUGGAAUUCCCGGUGUAGCGGUGAAAUGCGCAGAUAUCAGGAGGAACACCAAUGGCGAAGGCAGCACUCUGGGACGUGACUGACGCUGAGACGCGAAAGCGUGGGGAGCAAACAGG
rnacentral:rRNA from 1 species